rnacentral:rRNA from 1 species
UACGUAGGGUGCGAGCGUUGUCCGGAAUUACUGGGCGUAAAGAGCUCGUAGGUGGUUUGUCGCGUUGUUCGUGAAAACUCACAACUCAAUUGUGGGCGUGCGGGCGAUACGGGGCAGACUGGAGUACUGCAGGGGAGACUGGAAUUCCUGGUGUAGCGGUGGAAUGCGCAGAUAUCAGGAGGAACACCGGUGGCGAAGGCGGGUCUCUGGGCAGUAACUGACGCUGAGGAGCGAAAGCGUGGGGAGCGAACAGG